GUUUUCACACUAAAUCGGCGUGGAGCACAUCACCAUUUUACACAAGCUCUCGAUAUGUGGCAGUAUGAAAUAUUCUUCACUCACUGUAGAGGCAUGUGAGAAGUUUUCUUCAAGAAUUCAAGGUAACACGGGGCUGAACCCAGCUGAUCUGUUCAAUCACC